rnacentral:lncRNA from 1 species
AAAAAAAAUAUAAAUUUCUCUCAGAUCAGAAACAUGGACGAAAAUGGGCAUUAAAAAAAAAGGAUUUGACACCAAAUCGAUUUAGAUCCAGUUGCCUUAAAUGUGCACCUUAAGGAAUUAGGCAGAUUUCUUUUGUCUCCUAAUUUGGAUUCAACCAAAUUCAAAAUUCAAAAUUGAUUCCCACAAAUUACAGCAAUCAAUUGAGAUAGGUAAGGCAAUAUGGACGAAAAAGGAAACAUACCACAAUUUCGGCCAGAUCAAGAUAAAUAAGGUAAAGGCGAUUUUU